rnacentral:rRNA from 1 species
CCUACGGGGGGCAGCAGUAGGGAAUCUUCCACAAUGGGCGCAAGCCUGAUGGAGCAACGCCGCGUGGGUGAAGAAGGUCUUCGGAUCGUAAAACACUGUUGUUGGAGAAGAAAGUGCGUGAGAGUAACUGUUCACGUUUCGACGGUAUCUAACCAGAAAGCAACGGCUAACUACGUGCCAGCAGCCGCGGUAAUACGGAGGGGGCAAGCGUUAUCCGGAUUUAUUGGGCGUAAAGGGCACGCAGGCGGUCUUUUAAGUCUGAUGUGAAAGCCUUGGGCUUAACCGGAGUAGUGCAUUGGAAACUGGGAGACUUGAGUGCAGAAGAGGGGAGUAGAACUCCAUGUGUAGCGGUGAAAGGCGUAGAUAUAUGGAGGAAUACCAGUGGCGAAGGCGGCUCUCUGGUCUGUAACUGACGCUGAGGUUCGAAAGCGUGGGGAGCAAACAGGAUUAGAUACCCCGGUAGUC